GCGAAUUAAAAAGUAGCAGUGAAAAUGAGCUAUUGAAGCUAUUAAGGAAGCACUCAUAAAUAAGUACGUUUUAAACAUGUGCACUAAACGGCCUGCGUUUAACGAUGGUGGAUGUCGUACCUUUGAAGUUACUUUUGCACUUGUAUGUUUAAGCGUUUCAAUGCUUUCAGAAAUAAAUUACACCAUGAUAAAGCACAUGUUAUGUAUAUUAAGUUAACAGCCGAGUCCGUUAUCAAUCAUUAAAGUGUCAAAAUGUCAUGCGAAAAGAAAAACGGAAGAGAGUUUAAAAAAAACGCGUUACUCUCUUUACAAUCCGUAUAAAGGGUCAUCCCAUUCAUAAAGGGAUUUUGAUGUUUGUGAUUCACUGUCCUCGCCUUCUGCCUCAUUUGAUGAUUCACUAGCUUGCAUUCGCCGCGACCAGGAAUUGAUGGAAGAGUUAUUAUUUCGAGCUUCCUUUUCGGCAGGUUCAUCGGUAGUAGCACCAUUGCUACCGGAUGAAAAAGAACUGGCUGAAGUUGAGCCCCUUCGGUAUAACAAAGAAUUUUGAAAAGCAUCGCGUACAUUGGAAACAGACUGCUCAAGAUCUUCUAAAUACUCAUGAUCAUCAAAUCUAGAUGACGAUGAAUCAGCAGCAAGUACUUUAUUUAAUUUCUGCUUUUUAGCUUCUUUCUUUGCGCGAGUUUCAGCAGGUUUCUUCGCUAAAUAUUCAGAUAAUUCCUUCGCCUGGCGAAUUGUUCCUAAACGGUUGCCAUCUAAAUCUCUACAAGAAUCUUGAUUCUCCUGCUCAUUGCGCUUUUUUGACAUACGGCCACCGGCGGCUCUCAACUGACUGCCAAAACCACCCUUUCCACCUAAAACUCUAGUACAAAGAGUCAAAUUAAGGUGCGCAGAAGUACUUUUGCCCUCCAAUUUACAUAGUUGAAUAUCUGGAUGAACAAUUCGACUUUGAUGUGUCAAAUAAGCCCUUUCUAAAACUGUUUCAUAAGAAUCGCCCAGGACGUGUCGUAACAACGUUUCUACGGUAGCUAAUCUAUUAAGAUUCACAUUGACAGAGUUUUUUAAAAAAUCCCCAUUCAAAAAUACAGUCUUACACUCCAUAUUUAACAGAUUCAGCAAUGGUGAGAAGGUGGUAGACGAAAAGUGUGGCGACGAAAGUAUGUGCUAGAAGUUGUAUACGAAUUUAUGUGCAAUUCUUCGACAAAUGCUUAAAAUUGGAAAUUUUAAGCUCAUAAAUAAUAGUCAACUUUUAUUAAAUUUCAUAAAAAUACUACACUCUACUAAGCAGGGACUUAUUACUUGCUUUGUGAUUACAAUGUCAAUUAUCUCUACCCAAAAGCUAUAUUAAUAAUUUAAAUAUUUAGAGUGUUAAGUCUAACAAUUUUGAGUUAAUGUACAUUUGAGCUCCUUGAAGAUAACCUGUAUGACCUAUUAUAUACAAAACAUAAACACAUUCUGAAAACUACCUUUCCAUUCCCUUAUACGACUAUUGGAAAGCAGAUAUUUUAUAUUUCAUGUAGGUUAUAUAACAUAUUGAAACUACUUUCGAUUACUGAUGUCUUAAAGUAAGAAACGAUAACUCUGAUUUAUAAACAACCAAAA
rnacentral:lncRNA from 1 species